rnacentral:rRNA from 1 species
UAGCUAGUUGGUGAGGUAACGGCUUACCAAGGCGACGAUCUGUAGCGGGUCUGAGAGGAUGAUCCGCCACACUGGAACUGAGACACGGUCCAGACUCCUACGGGAGGUAGCAGUGGGGAAUUUUGGACAAUGGGGGCAACCCUGAUCCAGCCAUGCCGCGUGAGUGAAGAAGGCCUUCGGGUUGUAAAGCUCUUUCGGCCGGGAAGAAAUCGCAUGGGCCAAUACCCUGUGUGGAUGACGGUACCGGAAUAAGAAGCACCGGCUAACUACGUGCCAGCAGCCGCGGUAAUACGUAGGGUGCGAGCGUUAAUCGGAAUUACUGGGCGUAAAGCGUGCGCAGGCGGUUUUGUAAGACAGGCGUGAAAUCCCCGGGCUCAACCUGGGAACUGCGUUUGUGACUGCAAGGCUAGAGUACGGCAGAGGGGGGUGGAAUUCCACGUGUAGCAGUGAAAUGCGUAGAGAUGUGGAGGAACACCAAUGGCGAAGGCAGCCCCCUGGGUCGAUACUGACGCUCAUGCACGAAAGCGUGGGUAGCAAACAGGAUUAGAUACCCUGGUAGUCCACGCCCUAAACUAUGUCAACUAGGUGUUGGGUGGGUAAAACCAUUUAGUACCGUAGCUAACGCGUGAAGUUGACCGCCUGGGGAGUACGGCCGCAAGGUUAAAACUCAAAGGAAUUGACGGGGACCCGCACAAGCGGUGGAUGAUGUGGAUUAAUUCGAUGCAACGCGAAAAACCUUACCUACCCUUGACAUGCCAGGAACUUGCCAGAGAUGGCUUGGUGCCCGAAAGGGAGCCUGGACACAGGUGCUGCAUGGCUGUCGUCAGCUCGUGUCGUGAGAUGUUGGGUUAAGUCCCGCAACGAGCGCAACCCUUGUCGUUAAUUGCCAUCAUUUAGUUGGGCACUUUAGCGAGACUGCCGGUGACAAACCGGAGGAAGGUGGGGAUGACGUCAAGUCCUCAUGGCCCUUAUGGGUAGGGCUUCACACGUCAUACAAUGGUCGGUACAAAGGGUCGCCAAGCCGCGAGGUGGAGCCAAUCCCAGAAAGCCGAUCGUAGUCCGGAUUGCAGGCUGCAACUCGCCUGCAUGAAGUCGGAAUCGCUAGUAAUCGUGGAUCAGCAUGUCACGGUGAAUACGUUCCCGGGUCUUGUACACACCGCCCGUCACACCAUGGGAGCGGGUUCCGCCAGAAGUAGGUAGCCUAACCGCAAGGAGGGCGCUUACCACGGCGGGGUUCGUGACUGGGGUGAAGUCGUAACAAGGUAGCUGUAGGGGAACCUGCGGCUG